UGAGGAAUCUUCCACAAUGGGCGCAAGCCUGAACCAGCCAUGCCGCGUGCAGGAAGACGGUCCUAUGGAUUGUAAACUGCUUUUAUUUGGGAAUAAACCUCUUUACGUGUAGAGAGCUGAAGGUACCAAAUGAAUAAGCACCGGCUAACUCCGUGCCAGCAGCCGCGGUAAUACGGAGGGUGCAAGCGUUAUCCGGAAUCAUUGGGUUUAAAGGGAGCGUAGGUGGCCUUAUAAGUCAGUGGUGAAAUCUCUGGGCUUAACCCAGAAAUUGCCAUUGAUACUGUAAGACUUGAAUUCGAUCGAAGUGGGCGGAAUAUGACAUGUAGCGGUGAAAUGCUUAGAUAUGUCAUAGAACACCGAUAGCGAAGGCAGCUCACUAGGUCUGGAUUGACGCUCAGGGACGAAAGCGGGGGGAGCAAACA
rnacentral:rRNA from 1 species